CAUUUGAUUGACCACCACCAAUUAGUCUUUGAGAGCUGCAAUAAGUAGCAGUAUCAUUGCUCAUGAUGAUCACGUAUCAGGCUCAAUUCAUUGCUAAGGUUGAGGGUUCAUGAGAUGAAGAUCAAACCGGUUCCGAAAAUAUGACUCUGUCGGAGGCACUUGUGUUGUAUUUUGCACAAGUAUCAAGAUGGGGCACGACCAUAAAUGUGAGCAUGAAAAGGGAGAGGAAAUGUUGCAUAGCAAACUAAUACUUGGCUUUGCUAUCUGGUCGCGAAAUGGCUCUAUUUAUAAAAGAUAAAGGAAAAGGAUAAGAAGGAAGGCGACAACGAGAUGCUGUGACGAU